rnacentral:rRNA from 1 species
GGCGAACGCUGGCGGCGUGCCUAAUACAUGCAAGUUGAGCGCUGAAGGUUGGUACUUGUACCGACUGGAUGAGCAGCGAACGGGUGAGUAACGCGUGGGAAAUCUGCCUUUGAGCGGGGGACAACAUUUGGAAACGAAUGCUAAUACCGCAUAAAAACUUUAAACACAAGUUUUAAGUUUGAAAGAUGCAAUUGCAUCACUCAAAGAUGAUCCCGCGUUGUAUUAGCUAGUUGGUGAGGUAAAGGCUCACCAAGGCGAUGAUACAUAGCCGACCUGAGAGGGUGAUCGGCCACAUUGGGACUGAGACACGGCCCAAACUCCUACGGGAGGCAGCAGUAGGGAAUCUUCGGCAAUGGACGAAAGUCUGACCGAGCAACGCCGCGUGAGUGAAGAAGGUUUUCGGAUCGUAAAACUCUGUUGGUAGAGAAGAACGUUGGUGAGAGUGGAAAGCUCAUCAAGUGACGGUAACUACCCAGAAAGGGACGGCUAACUACGUG